rnacentral:lncRNA from 1 species
GAAAAGUAUUAAGAAUCAUAAUAUUUGUUUGGCCCCAUCUUUGACCAAUAGUAUUUCACAAAACAUUUGUAAACAUAUUAAUAAUAAUAGUAAAAAUAAUUUAGACCCUUUAAAAAAAGCUGGUGUGGUUUAUAGAAUUGAAUGUGACUGUCAUAAUCCGUGUGUAUAUAUAGGAGAAACCGGGCGUGUACUAGAAACUAGAGUUAAAGAACACGAAGCGGCCAUUCGGCUUAAGUAUAAUAAUUCUCCGUGGUUUAACCACAUCAAUAGUAAUAAUUGUAAUAUUAAUAGAAACAAUGUAAAAAUUUUACAUAUUGAAAAAGAUAUUUAUAAAAGAAAAUUCAAAGAACAUAUAGAAAUUAGAAAACAAAAUAAUAAUAAUUUAAUAAAUCAGUCGAAAGGGAUGGAAAUAAAUUAUAGCUGGUACAAUCUAAUAGAUGGCGCUAGAAUAAAAUAAAAAAUAAAUGGUUAUGUAUUAAGACGUCAUCACUUGAUUACCGUUGUAAAGUGUUGGUGGUCUACUGUGUGACUUUGUAAAGUGUUGAUGGUAUGAAGUUAAAAAUUUGUAGUGCUUUGGAAUUAUUUUUACAAUUGUUUGUCAAUGAAUUUUUAAUAAUUAGUUGGUUUUGGUAUGUUUAUUAUACACGUAUGUGGAAAAAAUUUUUUUAAACUUGAUUCUUACAAAUGUGUACAAAGUUUACCACCCCUACCCAUGGAAAUAUCAUUGUAAUUACCACCAGCGGUUAUUCACUGAAGAGGGAU